AAAUGUUCUGAUAAACAUGCAUUCUCACCGUGGAGCUAAAUUUGACUCCCAUCUUUUGUCUGUCUAUCUUUUUAUGAAACAAAACGCAAGUGGACGCAAACACUGCUGAUCCUGAGGAUGGUGUUUCUUACACCUCUGUCAGUUUCACCAAGACGACCAACAGUAAAGCCCAGGUUCAAGGAAAUGUUGGUGACGAUGAAGGUGAUGCAGUGACCUACAGCACAGUGAAAGCUU